rnacentral:rRNA from 1 species
AGCCGGUACCAGAGUACCGCAGGACACGAGGAAUCCGGCGGGAAGCCGGGGGGACCACCCCCCAAGCCUAAAUACGAUAUGGUGACCGAUAGCGCAUAGUACCGUGAGGGAAAGGUGAAAAGAACCCCGGGAGGGGAGUGAAAGAGAACCUGAAACCCUGUGUUUACAAGCAGAGGAAGCACGAUCUAGGUGCGACCUUGUACUUUUUGUAGAACGGACCGGCGAGUUGCGUUAUGUUGCGAGGUUAAGUACUGAAGGUACGGAGCCGAAGCGAAAGCGAGUCUGAAGAGGGCGGUAAGUAACAUGACGCAGACCCGAAACCGGGUGACCUAUCCAUGGCCAGGUUGAAGUGGGAGUACAAUCCCAUGGAGGACCGAACCAGACGUCUGUUGAAAAAGGCGGGGAUGAGCUGUGGAUAGCGGAGAAAUUCCAAUCGAACCCGGAGAUAGCUGGUUCUCCUCGAAAUAGCUUUAGGGCUAGCCUCGUAUUAGAUAACUGGAGGUAGAGCACUGAAUGGGCUAGGGGGCCCAAAGCUUACCGAACCCUAUCAAACUUCGAAUGCCAGGAUAUUGAUGUACGGGAGUCAGUCCGCGAGAGAUAAGUUCCGCGGGCAAAAGGGGAACACCCCAGACCCACUGCUAAGGUCCCAAAGUGCGCGUUAAGUGGAGAAGGAUGUGUGAUUGCACAGACAACCAGGAUGUUGGCUCAGAAGCAGCCAUUCAUUCAAAGAGUGCGUAAUAGCUCACUGGUCGAGUGGUCAUGCGCCGAAGAUGUACCGGGGCUCAAACGCGCCACCGAAGCAUGGGAUUCGCGCAAGCGAGUGGUAGAGGAGCAUUGAAUCAGGGCAGAAGCUGGAGCGGGAGCACCAGUGGACUUGAUUCAAGAGAGAAUGCCGGUAUGAGUAGCGAGAGGCAAGCGAGAAACUUGCCCGUCGAAAGCCUAAGGUUUCCUGGGGAAGGUUCAUCCGCCCAGGGUAAGUCGGGACCUAAGCCGAGGACGGAAGUCGUAGGCGAUGGACAGCAGGUUGAGAUUCCUGCACCGCCUUGAGAAUGAUGCAAUGACACAGAAGGAUAGCAUGAGCCGGGUGAUGGUCAACUCGGUUUCCAAAGCGAGGGCGUCUGGUAGUGAAGUACGCCAGACACACAGCCUGAGCCGAAGAGGGAGCGAAAUUCAAGUAGCGAAGCAUGCGAUUUCACGCUGGCGAGAAAAGUUGCUGGUAUAUCGAAGAGGCGCCCGUACCGCAAACCGACGCAGGUAGGCGAGGUGAGAAUCCUAAGACGAACGGGAGAACCCUUGUUAAGGAACUCGGCAAAAUGACCCCGUAACUUCGGGAGAAGGGGUGCCGAUGGAAACAUCGGUCGCAGAGAAAAGGCUCAAGCGACUGUUUAGCAAAAACACAGGUAUCUGCGAAAGCGAGAGCUGACGUAUAGGUGCUGACACCUGCCCGGUGCUGGAAGGUUAAGGGGAAAUGUCAUCGCAAGAGAAGCAUAGAACCGAAGCCCCAGUAAACGGCGGCCGUAACUAUAACGGUCCUAAGGUAGCGAAAUUCCUUGUCGGGUAAGUUCCGACCCGCACGAAUGGUGUAACGAUUUGAGCGCUGUCUCAACAGGGGGCCCGGUGAAAUUGAAGUAUGGGUGAAGAUGCCCAUUACCCGCGACUGGACGGAAAGACCCCGUAGAGCUUGACUGUAGCCUGAUAUUGGAUUUCGGUAACGGAUGCACAGGAUAGGUGGGAGGCUUGGAAGCCAGGACUCCGGUCUUGGUGGAGCCACCGUUGGGAUACCACUCUUCUGUUGCUGGAAUUCUAACAUGGCGCCGUGAAACCGGUGAAUGGACAGUGUCAGGUGGGCAGUUUGACUGGGGCGGUCGCCUCCGAAAGAGUAACGGAGGCGCCCAAAGGUACCCUCAGAAUGGAUGGAAACCAUUCAAAGAGUGUAAAGGCAGAAGGGUGCUUGACUGUGAGAGUGACAACUCGAUCAGAUACGAAAGUAGGGCUUAGUGAUCCGGCGGUAUUGAGUGGAAAAGCCGUCGCUUAACGGAUAAAAGCUACCUCGGGGAUAACAGGCUGAUCU